rnacentral:rRNA from 1 species
GAUGAACGCUGGCGGCGUGCCUAAUACAUGCAAGUCGAGCGAACGGACGAGAAGCUUGCUCCUCUGAUGUUAGCGGCGGACGGGUGAGUAACACGUGGAUAACCUACCUAUAAGACUGGGAUAACUUCGGGAAACCGGAGCUAAUACCGGAUAAUAUAUUGAACCGCAUGGUUCAAUAGUGAAAGACGGUUUUGCUGUCACUUAUAGAUGGAUCCGCGCUGCAUUAGCUAGUUGGUAAGGUAACGGCUUACCAAGGCAACGAUGCAUAGCCGACCUGAGAGGGUGAUCGGCCACACUGGAACUGAGACACGGUCCAGACUCCUACGGGAGGCAGCAGUAGGGAAUCUUCCGCAAUGGGCGAAAGCCUGACGGAGCAACGCCGCGUGAGUGAUGAAGGUCUUCGGAUCGUAAAACUCUGUUAUUAGGGAAGAACAAAUGUGUAAGUAACUAUGCACAUCUUGACGGUACCUAAUCAGAAAGCCACGGCUAACUACGUG